CAGCCGCCGCGGUAAUACGAAGGGUGCAAGCGUUACUCGGAAUUACUGGGCGUAAAGCGUGCGUAGGUGGUGGUUUAAGUCCGUUGUGAAAGCCCUGGGCUCAACCUGGGAAUUGCAGUGGAUACUGGGUCACUAGAGUGUGGUAGAGGAUAGUGGAAUUUCCGGUGUAGCAGUGAAAUGCGUAGAGAUCGGAAGGAACAUCUGUGGCGAAGGCGACUAUCUGGGACAACACUGACGCUGAGGCACGAAAGCGUGGGGAGCAAACAGGAUUAGAUACCCGGGUAGUCCCUGUCUCUUAUAA
rnacentral:rRNA from 1 species